rnacentral:rRNA from 1 species
UGGGGAAUUUUGGACAAUGGGCGAAAGCCUGAUCCAGCAAUGCCGCGUGUGUGAAGAAGGCCUUCGGGUUGUAAAGCACUUUUGUCCGGAAAGAAAUCCUUGGCUCUAAUACAGUCGGGGGAUGACGGUACCGGAAGAAUAAGCACCGGCUAACUACGUGCCAGCAGCCGCGGUAAUACGUAGGGUGCAAGCGUUAAUCGGAAUUACUGGGCGUAAAGCGUGCGCAGGCGGUUUGCUAAGACCGAUGUGAAAUCCCCGGGCUCAACCUGGGAACUGCAUUGGUGACUGGCAGGCUAGAGUAUGGCAGAGGGGGGUAGAAUUCCACGUGUAGCAGUGAAAUGCGUAGAGAUGUGGAGGAAUACCGAUGGCGAAGGCAGCCCCCUGGGGCCAAUACUGACGCUCAUGCACGAAAAGCGUGGGGGAGCAAAACAGGAUUAGAUACCCUGGGUAGUCCACGCCCUAAACGAUGUCAACUAGUUGUUGGGGAUUCAUUUCCUUAGUAACGUAGCUAACGCGUGAAGUUGACCGCCUGGGGAGUACGGUCGCAAGAUUAAAACUCAAAUGAAUUGACGGGGUCAUAGCUGUUUCCU